rnacentral:misc_RNA from 1 species
AGGGCCCAGGUAGUCCAACAAUGUUCUCUCAUCAAGACAAGGUGGGUGCCUUUUACAAGAACAAUGCAAGGGCCAAUUCUUCCAAGUUAUCACUUGUGACGGACGAGGUUGAGGAAAGAAGAUCCCCAUGGUUCCUAUCAAUUUUGCUUAUUCUGCUUGUCGGGAUCUUAAUCCUACUAACAAUAACCGGGAUCAGAUUCCAUCAGGUUGUAAAAAGCAAUUUGGAGUUCAAUAAGUUGUUGAUAGAGGAUAUGGAAAAAACAGAGGCAGUGCAUCAUCAAGUCAAGGAUGUAUUAACCCCGCUAUUCAAGAUCAUCGGGGAUGAGGUUGGAUUACGAUUGCCACAGAAAUUAAAUGAGAUCAAGCAGUUUAUUGUUCAAAAAACAAACUUCUUCAAUCCAAAUCGAGAAUUUGAUUUUCGUGAGCUUCAUUGGUGUAUCAAUCCGCCUAGUAAGGUUAAAGUCAAUUUUACUCAAUAUUGUGAAAUAACUGAGUUCAAAGAAGCUACCAGGUCAGUGGCAAAUUCAAUCCUCUUGCUGACACUUUACAGAGGAAGAGAUGAUAUCUUUCCUCCUUACAAAUGUAGAGGGGCAACUACCUCGAUGGGCAAUGUGUUCCCGUUAGCUGUUUCCUUGUCCAUGUCCCUCAUAUCAAAACCUUCGGAGGUAAUUAACAUGUUGACUGCAAUCUCAGAAGGGAUCUACGGUAAGACUUACCUAUUAGUAACUGACGAUACUGAAGAAAAUUUUGAAACACCAGAGAUUCGUGUCUUUGAGAUUGGAUUCAUCAACAGAUGGCUAGGUGAUAUGCCGCUAUUCCAAACAACAAACUACAGGAUUAUCUCUAAUAACUCGAAUACUAAAAUAUGCACAAUAGCUGUAGGUGAAUUAGCCUUAGCAUCCUUAUGUACUAAGGAGAGUACAAUCCUGCCAAACCUUGGUGAUGAGGAAUCACAAAAUAGUGUAUUAGUUGUGAUACUAGGGUUAUUUGGAGCAACUCAUAUGGAUCAACUAGAAGAGGUCAUACCCGUUGCACACCCCUCAAUUGAAAAAAUCCAUAUAACAAACCACCGGGGUUUCAUAAAGGAUUCAGUGGCGACCUGGAUGGUACCUGCAUUGGCUUUGUCAGAGCAGGGGGAGCAGAUAAAUUGUCUCAGUUCAGCCUGCAAGAGAAGAACGUACCCCAUGUGUAACCAAACAUCAUGGGAACCCUUCGGUGAUAAACGACUGCCAUCUUACGGGCGCUUGACAUUGUCUUUAGAUGUAAGUACUGAUUUGUCCAUCAAUGUGUCAGUUGCGCAAGGCCCAAUAAUAUUUAACGGUGAUGGGAUGGAUUAUUAUGAGGGUACAUUACUGAAUUCUGGAUGGCUAACAAUUCCACCUAAAAAUGGAACAAUACUUGGGUUGAUCAACCAAGCCAGCAAAGGGGAUCAAUUCAUUGUAACUCCACAUAUUUUGACCUUCGCGCCCAGAGAAUCGAGUACUGAUUGUCACUUGCCCAUCCAAACCUAUCAGAUCCAAGACGAUGAUGUGCUCCUUGAAUCCAAUCUAGUCGUAUUACCCACCCAGAGCUUUGAAUAUGUAGUAGCGACUUAUGAUGUAUCUCGGAGUGAUCAUGCUAUUGUUUACUAUGUAUAUGACCCUGCUCGGACAGUCUCCUACACAUACCCAUUUAGACUAAGAACCAAGGGUCGACCUGAUAUCCUAAGAAUUGAGUGCUUUGUAUGGGAUGGUCAUCUGUGGUGUCAUCAAUUUUAUAGAUUUCAGCUUGAUGCUACAAAUUCUACCAGCGUAGUUGAAAACUUAAUCCGCAUCAGAUUCUCAUGUGAUCGUCUUGAUCCUUAAUUUUGCAAUGUUGAAUUCCGUACCCACCGAGAUUGAGAUAACUACGGUAAGUGUUUCUUUCCCUUGUUUAAAUUCUAAGGCAGUUUACCUCUAGCAUUAUAAAAAAA